rnacentral:lncRNA from 1 species
CUAUCUUCUAGUUCUCUUUCUUUAUUUCAGAAUGAAUCAGAUAAUGGAAAACCCCAGUAAGAUUAUACCUUAAGGAACCACAAGUUUCUUUCGACUUCCUUAUUAUUAAAGGAGAAGUCAGUUACUGGACAAAUGAAAAUGUCUGGAUAAGCCAGAGUAGGAUAAAUUUUAAACAAUAAUAAUGAAAUAUGUCCAAUUUAACCUAGGCCAUAGAAAUAUGAAGCAGGUUUUGUUGUUGUUUUGUUCUUUUGUUUUAGGAGAUGAUUGAAGAAGGGUGCUUGGUUUGUCGAGUUCCGUAAUUAGGAUGCCAAAUCCUGAUGCUAGAUCCUCUCCUUUAGACCUUGCUGCUCAGCGCAUGCCAUAGGAUUAUCCUAUUAAUUUUCAAUGAUCCUGGGCAGGUUUUUAAGUAAAAUGAAAUAUACCUAAGGUAUUAGCUGUAAGUUCAGCAAACCGUGAUGCUAUAAUUCAGUUUAGCAAAUGGAGAAAGGAGGAAGGAGUGGAGGACAUCGAGAGAAAAGGCAAGCUGCGGUACCAGAGAAGCAUUGUUCUGAGCCUGAGGUUUGUCAGCUAAGUGGAAAACAGUGUGUGACAUAUGUGCUCAAAGUGUGUGCAGUCUGUUUCUUUGUGAGAAAAAUUGCCUUACGGCCAAUUAUUUGUGUGGCAAAUAUAUUUGCAGUGAAAAUGUUUGGGGCAAAGGUGUCUGCAGCAAAGGAGCUUGCAGCAAGGGUACCUAGAACUGUUAGAUGGCACACCUGCUGAAGGUGGGUGUCCCCUACAUAUGAGGGGCACACGCAGUGACACAUUAUUUUUAACUUAAAAUUAUAUAACUUUAUAAAUUUGAAGAAUAGUCACAAAACUAAUUCAUGAGUUGGAAAGAAACUGGGGAUUUUUAGAGUAUUAGGAGUAAGGGAGAAGAAAUAGAAAAGGAAAAAUGUAGCAAAGUCAUGUCAUCACAGAAUUUUAUAACUAGAAUAUCAAAUACUCCAAGAUUUUCAUUUUAUUUAUUUUUUUAAAGAACUGCAGUUGUUUUUUGUCUUUUUUCUUCUCCCCAAAGCCCUCAGUACAUAGUCGUAUAUCUAGUUGUAGGUCAUUCAAGUUCUUCUAUGUGGGACGCCACCUCAGCAUGGCCUGAUGAGCGGUGCUAGGUCCACGCCCAGGAUCCAAACCAGUGAACCCUGGGCUGCUGAAGCAGAGUCUGAGAAUUUAACCACUCAGCCAUGGGCUUGGCCCUCAAUUUUUUCAUUUUGAAUAUGAAGAAGUAGAGAUGGGAAAUUUAAAUGAUGUGAUUAAAGUUAAAGGUGUUGACGAAAAUAAUCCAUAACCAAUCUAUAAAUGAAAAUUUGGGUGAGUUUAUUCUGAGCUUAAAUCUGAGGAUUAUAACCCGGGAAAGUCUUUGCACAGAGGAAAAGAGCACUCCAAAGAAGUGGGGGUAU